UACAGAGGGUGCUAGCGUUGUUCGGAAUCAUUGGGCGUAAAGGGCGUGUAGGCGGUUUGUUAAGUCAUGUGUGAAAUCCCUCGGCUCAACCGGGGAACGACGCAUGAAACUGGCAAGCUAGAGUACCAAAGAGGGGGGUGGAAUUCCCGGUGUAGCGGUGAAAUGCGUAGAUAUCGGGAAGAACACCUGUGGCGAAGGCGGCCCCCUGGUUGGAUACUGACGCUGAGACGCGAAAGCGUGGGGAGCAAACAGG
rnacentral:rRNA from 1 species